rnacentral:rRNA from 1 species
UACAGAGGGGGCAAGCGUUGUUCGGAAUUACUGGGCGUAAAGGGCGCGUAGGCGGCCUGCUAAGUCGAACGUGAAAUCCCCGGGCUCAACCCGGGAACUGCGUCCGAUACUGGUAGGCUUGAAUUCGGGAGAGGGAUGCGGAAUUCCAGGUGUAGCGGUGAAAUGCGUAGAUAUCUGGAGGAACACCGGUGGCGAAGGCGGAUCUCUGGGCCAUUACUGACGCUGAGGAGCGAAAGCGUGGGGAGCGAACAGG